UCCGGCAUGGCUCUCUUGGUUAGAUUUCCUUGGCGCGUUCCGCGCCGGGGUUCGGUUUGCGGGCAGGAGACGCGAGGUCCCCACCCGCAGGAGGGGGCGAGGGGGCGACGAGCGCCCCCCGCCCCCCGUCGGUUGUAACCAAUUCGCGGGUCGUUCUGCUGUGCAGGUUUCGACAAUGAUCCUUCCGCAGGUU